UGCCAUGCAUGCCUGGUUGCUUGGAAGGCCAAGCAUCUCUUUUCCAAACAGUCGCCAGAGCGCUUUGAUUUAGCAGAUUAGGAGGUGGGAAGUGAUGGUGGUUCAGUACUUCAGUCGGUUGCCGUGUCAUACCAUCCCGGAUUUUGCCCAUUCCACCUGAAGGGCAAUGUGCUUAAAAGUGACAAGUUGUCGCCUAUCAUCCCCGGACUCCUUUAGUGAAGCAUACAGUUUUGUUUAUUUGUUCUAUGUUUGUACUUAGAGGAGAGUAGAUAGAGUUUUUUUUCAUUUUGAAUAGAAAAUAGAUAUAGGGUAUGAUAAUGUGCUUUUCUUUUAAAACUGUGUAUUGUCCAUGGGAGUAUAAAUAUUCAUGUGUAAAUAUAUAAUAUGCGAGAAGUGCAUGCCUGGUUGAGGUGGAUCAGAAAGAUCUUUUUUUUUCUUUGGUUGAGAUCUUGUCUUGAAUGGGAUGCAAGGAAUGAAGGAAUACUCUUUUUUUUUUGCAUCUAGGCCCUGUUUAGUUGCAAACUAUUUUUGUAGUACUGUUUGAUACCAAAGUUUCUAGAAAAGUUGUACUUAUUUUUUCUGCAUUUAAAGUCUUGCUCAUGUGAACUAAAGAAAUACUAUAAAAGUGUAACGUACUCCCUCUGCAAAGAAAUAUAAGAGCAUUUAUAUCACUAAAGUAAUGAUCUAAAUGUCUUAUAUUUAUAUCACUAAAAUAGUGAUCUAAAUGUCUUAUAUUUCUUUACAAAGGAAGUACUCCGUGACUCGCAAUAGCUUCUCUGACAGCAACAAAUGCUGAGUUCUAACUCAGCCAAAACGCACACACACAUGCUGAUUUCUGAAUGAGCAUUUACUAUCACAUUGUAUUCCCUCCGUCCGAAAAUACUUGUCAUCAAAAUGAAUAAAAGGGAAUGUAUCUAGACGUAUUUUAGUUCUAGAUACAUCUUUUUUUAUCCAUUUUGAUGACAAGUAUUUUCGGACGAAGGGAGUACAUCUAGAAUAUGCGUCGUGGUGAGGCUAUAAGAAUGAGCUUCAUUUGUAGCACCGAGAGUAAAGAUCACCGAUGAAAACCAUCGCUUAUACAUGCAUGUCUUCGAUCUUCACAACCGAUCUUCGACAAGGCAUUCAGUAGUCAGAGUAGGGGUCAUUCCCCACAAUGCCAGAAAUGACGGGCCUCCCUCCGUCCCAAAAUAUAAGAACGUUUUUAACAUUAACAUAGUGUCAAAAACGUUCUUAUAUUCUGGACAGAGGGAGUACUUAGGUUAGCUCUUGCUACUCCUAAUUUCUAGCCAGAUUUAUUACUAGACUGUUUAAACCCUUAACUGUUAAUGUGAUCAACAAAAUUAUUGACUGGCUUUUCAAUUAAACCUACAUAUAUACCACACGUUUCGAGGAUAAAGACGUCUUUUAAAGAAGUAUUCGUAUUCAUAGAAGACCUUUUGUCCACCCGCAAAAAGAAAAAAAUAGAAGACCUUUUGUCCACAGUAAUAUCCUGCAUAUUACAGAUACUGAAACAGCUGUGGAGAUUUGGAGUACAAAGGUUGAUCCCCACUAAGAGGAUUAAACGAUAAUUACCAUAAUUAAGAAUUAUUUUUCUACUAGGCAUAUAGUGUUCCUUGACUUUCACAGUGGCUUUCCAAACAGGGGAAUCAAAGAACUUCUCUUUAACAGUGGCAACAAUAUCACGUUUAAAGUUCCUGGUUACCUCCUCUGUUCCUGCCGGUCUCGCUUCGUUUGCCAUGGUGAGAUGGCGAUGGGGACUGCACGGCCGUGGUGGCGCAUGUUGGUGGGCAGCGUGUUUGAUGGCGCGCGAUGGAUCGUCUGGGGCCAUGGGUGGUUGGUGGUCAGGAGAAAUCCUUGUCGGCUUGUCCGGCACCGACGCGGUGACGCCUGUGGGCGCCCCCAUGCCUUCCUAAAGGGCGUCGGGUUUACCCCUUCCCCCGCACCCCUCUGUGUACCGGGGGAAACCCAAGGACUUGUCCGGGCAGCAGCGUGGUUGGCGUCGCGAUGCUUCUUGAAGGUGUUGCUUGAUAUGCGGCGGUCCGAAGCGCUUGGAGUGUGGUGGAAUUCUCCGGUGGGCGCAGCGGUUGCGGGUCUCCUUCGUUUUCGUUGACCCGUCGCUGUUCGCAUUGUUUCUUUUUCUGUUUUCUCUUUCGUUUCUUUUGGGUGUGACUGUGUUGCUUCCGCCCCAGCACCUAUCGUUGACUGUAUCGGUGAUGGUUGCUUUGUAAUACAAAGCGGGGGAAAACCCCUUUUCACAACAUCUUGACAAAGUCCCUCUUGGGUGUCAAGUUUCUAUCACCACUUCACAAGCAAGCUAAUGUUUUGCUUGCGGAGGUCUUUCACCCCAAGUCCACCUUUACAUUUAGAUAUACAAACUCGAGACCAUUUAACGAGAUAGUAUCUCUCUUUUUCCCACUUCCCCCGUGCCAAAAGAAAUGUGGCGUCUAUAAUUGUCAAGCCUUUUAGUAAAGGUCUUAGACAACAAGAACAUGGACAUAUAGUAAUACACAAUACUAGACAAAGAGGAGUUGAGUAAAGUCAGCCUUGCCCCAGAAGAGGCUGCAUUACCAAAGACUCACAUCUCUUAGGAAUUUAGUAUGCACAAAAUCCCAGUCCAAGUUGUGGAGAGUGUAAUAAAUAACAUGGGGAAGAGGUGUGUUCCUUAGAUGUUGUCUAAAAACAAUUUACUUAAGUUCUCUUUAGUACCGCAUAUGCAGCUAUGUAGAAGGAUUGCGGUAAGGCUAUAAGUAUGCCAUGGUGGCCUGCCUCCGCACCUCAUCGUUUGGAGUACCACAAAGCUUGACGUAUCUUUUGUUCUUAUCCACAAUGAGUAGAAAUACAGAUACAUUAUAUGAUGCAAUCAUCCCUUUAGGACUUGGUAGUGGUAUGGCACAUAAUCUGGACUUUUUUGUUGCGAUAGAAAACCCUCAUAGCACAAUCUAGAAUUGGGAGGCCUCUAGAAUACCUUGGAAACUAUGAUUAUGUGUGCGAGUUACUAGUUUUGUCAAAACAUAAGCUGGCACACUCAAAUUCGGACAAACUUUCUAUGGAAACUAGCCUUCAAUGUGAAGAUAUUCCAAAGGGAAAUUAUCAAAGUAACGAACGCGAAUCAUAUGAGCAUGAUGAAAGCUAGCUUGACGAUAAUUCCCAUGUGUCCUCGGGAGCGCUUUCCUUUAUAUAAGAGUUUGUCCAGACUUGUCCUUUGCUACAAAAAUGAUUGGGCCACCUUGCUGCACCUUGUUUACUUUUGUUACUUGUUACUCGUUACAAAUUACCUUAUCACAAAACUAUCUGUUACCGAUAAUUUCAGUGCUUGCAGAGAAUACCUUACUGAAAACUGCUUGUCAUUUCCUUCUGCUCCUCGUUGGGUUCGACACUCUUACUUAUCGAAAGGACUACGAUAGAUCCCCUAUACUUGUGGGUCAUCAAGACUUUUUUCUGGCGCCAUUGCCGGGGAGUGAAGCGCCUUUGGUAAGUGGAAUUUGGUAAGGAAAAAUUUAUAUAGUGUGCUGAAAUUUACUGUCACUUGUUACUAUGGAAAAUAAUCCUUUGAGGGGCUUGUUCGGGGUAUCUUCACCCCGACCAGUAGAGCAAAGAGUUGCUCCUCAACCUACUGAACCUACUGAAAAUGUUUACUUUGAAAUUCCUUCGGGUAUGAUAGAGAAACUGCUAGCUAAUCAUUUUACAGGAGAUGGAACAUUACAUCCCGUUAUGCACCUAAUCUAUGUGGAUGAAGUUUGUGGAUUAUUUAAGCUUGCAGGUAUGCCCGAGGAUGUUAUCAAGAAGAAGGUCUUCCCUUUAUCUUUGAAGGGAAAUGCAUUGACAUGGUUUAGGCUAUGUGAUGAUAUUGGAUCAUGGAACUACAAUCGAUUGAAAUUGGAAUUUCAUCAGAAGUUUUAUCCUAUGCAUCUGGUUCAUCGUGAUCGUAAUUAUAUAUAUAUAUAUAUAUAUAUAUAAUUUUUGGCCUCGCGAAGGAGAAAGUAUCGCUCAAGCUUGGGGGAGGCUUAAGUCAAUGUUAUAUUCAUGCCCCAAAAUUCGUUGAGAUGACACUAUAUGAACUGUGGUUUGACAAGAAACCCAAGUUGUCGUUUCUUAAAGUUUGGGGCUGCGAUGCUUAUGUGAAAAAGCUUUAACCUGAUAAGCUCGAACCCAAAUCGGAGAAAUGUGUCUUCAUAGGAUACCCAAAGGAGACUGUUGGGUACACCUUCUAUCACAGAUCCAAAGGCAAGAUAUUCGUUGCUAAGAAUGGAUCCUUUCUAGAGAAGGAGUUUCUCUCGAAAGAAGUGAGUGGGAGGAAAGUAGAACUUGAUGAGGUAAUUGUACCUGCUCCCUUAUUGGAAAGUAGUUCAUCACAGAAAUCAGUUCUAGUGAUUUCUACACCAGUAAGUGAGGAAGCUAAUGAUGAUGAUCAUGAGACUUCUGAUCAAGUUACUACCGAACCUCGUAGGUCAACCAGAGUAAGAUCCGCACCAGAGUGGUACGGUAAUCCUGUUCUGGAGGUCAUGUUACUUGACCAUGACGAACCUACGAACUAUGAGGAAGCAAUGAUGAGUCCAGAUUCCACAAAAUGGCUUGAGGCCAUGAAAUCCAAGAUGGGAUCCAUGUAUGAGAACAAAGUGUGGACUUUGGUUGACUUGCCCGAUGAUUGGCAAGCCAUAGAGAAUAAAUGGAUCUUUAAGAAGAAGACUGACGCUGACGGUAAUAUUACUGUCUACAAAUCUCGACUUGUUGCGAAAGGUUUUCGACAAGUUCAAGGAGUUGACUACGAUGAGACCUUCUCACCUGUAGCGAUGCUUAAGUCCAUCUGAAUCAUGAUAGCAAUUGCCGCAUUUUAUGAUUAUGAAAUUUGGCAAAUGGAUGUCAAAACUGCAUUCCUUAAUGGAUAUCUUAAAGAAGAGUUGUAUAUGAUGCAACCAGAAGGUUUUGUCGAUCCAAAAGGUGCUAACAAAGUGUGCAAGCUCCAGCGAUCCAUUUAUGGACUGGUGCAAGCCUCUCGGAGUUGGAAUAUACGCUUUGAUAGUGUGAUCAAAGCAUAUGGUUUUAUACAGACUUUUGGAGAAGCCUGUAUUUACAAGAAAGUGAGUGGGAGUUCUGCAGCAUUUCGGAUAUUAUAUGUGGAUGACAUAUUAUUGAUUGGAAAUGAUACUGAAUUUUUGAAUAGCAUAAAAGGAUACUUGAAUAAAUUUUUUCAAUGAAAGACCUCGGUGAAGCUGCUUAUAUAUUGGGCAUCAAGAUCUAUAGAGAUAGAUCAAGACGCUUAAUUGGACUUUCACAAAGCACAUACCUUGAUAAAGUUUUGAAGAAGUUCAAAAUGGAUCAAGCAAAGAAAGGGUUCUUGCCUGUGUUACAAGGUGUGAAGUUGAGUCAGACUCAAUGCCCGACCACUGGAGAAGAUAGAGAGAAAAUGAAAGUCAUUCCCUAUGCUUCAGCCAUAGGUUCUAUCAUGUAUGCAAUGCUGUGUACCAGACCUGAUGUGUGCCUUGCUAUUAGUUUAGCAAGGAGGUACCAAAGUAAUCCAGGAGUGGAUCACUGGACAGCGGUCAAGAACAUCCUGAAAUACCUAAAAAGGACUAAGGAUAUGUUUCUCGUUUAUGGAGGUGACAAAGAGCUCGUCGUAAACGGUUACGUUGAUGCAAGCUUUGACACUGAUUCGGAUGACUCUAAGUCACAAACCCGAUACAUAUUUUUAUUGAAUGAUGGAGCUGUCAGUUGGUGCAGUUCCAAGCAAAGCGUCGUGGCGGGAUCUAUGUGUGAAGCGGAGUACAUAGCUGCUUCGGAAGAGCAAAUGAAGGAGUCUGGAUGAAGGAGUUCAUAUCUGAUCUAGGUGUCAUACCUAGUGCAUCGGGUCCAAUGAAAAUCUUUUGUGACAAUAUUGGUGCAAUUGCCUUGGCAAAGGAAUCCUAAUUUCACAAGAGAACCAAGCACAUCAAGAGAUGCUUCAAUUCCAUUUGCGACCAAGUCAAGGAGGGAGACAUAGAGAUUUGCAAGAUACAUACGGAUCUGAAUGUUGUAGACCCGUUGACUAAGCCUCUCUCACGAGCAAAACAUGAUCAACACCAAGACUCCAUGGGUGUUAGAAUCAUUACAAUGUAAUCUAGAUUAUUGACUCUAGUGCAAGUGGGAGACUGAAGGAAAUAUGCCCUAGAGGCAAUAAUAAAGUUGUUAUUUAUACUUCCUUAUAUCAUGAUAAAUGUUUAUUAUUCAUGCUAGAAUUGUAUUAACCGGAAACUUAGUACAUGUGUGAAUACAUAGACAAACAGAGUGUCACUAGUAUGCCCUACUUGACUAGCUCGUUAAUCAAAGAUGGUUAAGUUUCCUAGCCAUGGACAAAGAGUUGUCAUUUGAUGAACGGGGUCACAUCAUUAGAGAAUGAUGUGAUUGACGUGACCCAUAUAUUAGCUUAGCACUAUGAUCAUUUAGUUUAUUGCUAUUGCUUUCUUCAUAACUUAUACAUGUUCCUUUGACUAUGAGAUUAUGCAACUCCCGAAUACCGGAGGAACACUUUGUGUCCUAUCAAACGUCACAACGUAACUGGGUGAUUAUAAAGAUGCUCUACAGGUGUCUCUGAUGGUGUUUGUUGAGUUGGCAUAGAUCGAGAUUAGGAUUUGUCACUCCGAUUAUCGGAGAGGUAUCUCUGGGCCCUCUCGGUAAUGCACAUCACUAUAAGCCUUGCAAGCAAUGUGACUAAUGAGUUAGUCACGGGAUGAUGCAUUAAAGAACAAGUAAAGAUACUUGUCGGUAACGAGAUUGAACUAGGUAUGAUGAUACCGACGAUCGAAUCUCGGGCAAAUAACAUAUCGAUGACAAAGGGAACAACAUAUGUUGUUAUGCGGUUUGACCGAUAAAGAUCUUCGUAGAAUAUGUAGGAACCAAUAUGAGCAUCCAGGUUCCGCUAUUGGUUAUUGACCGGAAGUGAGUCUCGGUCAUGUAUACAUAGUUCUUGAACCCGCAGGGUACGCAUGCUUAACGUUCGAUGACGAUCGGUAUUACGAGUUUAUGUGUUUUGAUGUACCGAAGGUAGUUAGGAGUUCCGGAUGUGACCACGGACAUGACGAGGAGUCUCGAAAUGGUCGAGACAUAAACAUUGAUAUAUUGGACGAUGUUAUACGGACACCGGAUGAGUUUCACGGGUCACGGGAUAAAUAUCAGAGUGCCGGGGGGUUAUCGAAACCCCCGGGGGAACUAAUGGGCCUCUAUGGGCCUUAGUGGGAAGAGAGGAAGGGCCAGGAGGGGAUGGCCGCGCCCCCCCUUGGGUCCGAAUUGGGCUAGGGGAAGGGGGCGGUGCCCCCCUUUCCUUCCCUUCCCCCUCUUCCUUCCUUCCCCCCCUCUCCCUCUUGGUGGAUUCUGAUAACCCACAAGUAUAGGGGAUCACAACUGUUUUCGAGGGUAGAGUAUUCAACCCAAAUUUAUUGAUUCGACACAAGGGGAGCCAAAGAAUAUUCUCAAGUAUUAGCAACUGAGUUGUCAAUUCAGCCACACCUGGAUAACUUAAUAUUUGCGGCAAAGUAUUUAGUAGCAAAGUAAUAUGAUAGUAGUGGUAACGAUAACAAAGAUAACAAUAGCAAAAGUAAUAUUUUUGGUAUUUUUUAGUGAUUGUAAGAGUAGCAACGGAAAAGUAAAUAAGCAAAGAACAAUAUGUGAAAAGCUCGUAGGCAUUGGAUCGGUGAUGGAAAAUUAUGCCGGAUGCGGUUCAUCAUGUAACAGUCAUAACAUAGGGUGACACAGAACUAGCUCCAAUUCAUCAAUAUAAUGUAGGCAUGUAUUCCGAAUAUAGUCAUACGUGCUUAUGGAAAAGAACUUGCAUGACAUCUUUUGUCCUACCCUCCUGUGGCAGCGGGGUCCUAAUGUAAACUAAGGGAUAUUAAGGCCUCCUUUUAAUAGAGUACCGGAACAAAGCAUUAGCACAUAGUGAAUACAUGAACUCCUCAAACUAUGGUCAUCACCGGGAGUGGUCCUGAUUAUUGUCACUUCGGGGUUGCCAGAUCAUAACACAUAGUAGGUGACUAUAGACUUGCAAGAUAGGAACAAGAACUCACAUAUAUUCAUGAAAACAUAAUAGGUUCAGAUCUGAAAUCAUGGCACUCGUGUCCUAGUGACAAGCAUUAAGCAUAGCAAAGUCAUUGCAACAUCAAUCUCAGAACAUAGUGGAUACUAGGGAUCAAACCCUAACAAAACUAACUCGAUUACAUGAUAGAUCUCAUCCAACCCAUCACCAUCCAGCAAGCCUACGAUGGAAUUACUCACGCACGGCGGUGAGCAUCAUGAAAUUGGUGAUGGAGGAUGGUUGAUGAUGACGAUGGCGAUGAAUCCCCCUCUCCGGAGCCUCAAACGGACUCCAGAUCAGCCCUCCCGAGAGGUUUUAGGGCUUGGCGGCGACUCCGUAUCGUAAAACGCGAUGAUUUCUUCUUCUUUAUUUUUUUCUCCCCAAAAGCAAAUAUAUAGAGUUGGAGUUGGCGUCGGAGGAGCUCCAGGGGGCCCACGAGGUAGGGGGGCACGCCCUAGGGGGAGGGCGCGCCCCCACCCUCGUGGACAGGGUGUGGGCCCCCUGGUCUUCAUCUUUUGCAAUGAUUUUUUAUUAUUUCCAAAUAGGCAUUACGUGGAGUUUCAAGUCAUUCCGAGAACUUUUGUUUCUGCACAUAAAUAACACCAUGGCAAUUCUGCUGAAAACAGCGUCAGUCCGUGUUAGUUCCAUUCAAAUCAUGCAAGUUAGAGUCCAAAACAAGGGCAAAAGUGUUUGGAAAAGUAGAUACGACGGAGACGUAUCAACUCCCCCAAGCUUAAACCUUUGCUGGUCCUCAAGCAAUUCAGUUGAUAAACUGAAAGUGAUAAAGAAAAACUUUUACAAACUCUGUUUGUUCUUGUUGUUGUAAAUAUGUAAAACCAGCAUUCAAGUUUUCAGCAAAGAUUAUGACUAACCACAUUCACAAUAACUCUCAGGUCUCAUGUUUACUCAUAUCAAUAGCAUAAUCAACUAGCGAGCCAUAAUAAUAAAUCUCAGAUGACAACACUUUCUCAAAACAAUCAUAAUAUGAUAUAACAAGAUGGUAUCUCGCUAGCCGUUUCUGAGAUCGCAAAACAUAAAUGCAGAGCACCUUUAAAGAUCAAGGACUGACUAGACAUUGUAAUUCAUGGUAAAAGAGAUCCAAUCAUAGUCAUAGCCAAUAUAAAUUAAUUAUAAUGAAUGCAAAUGACAGCUGUGCUCUCCAGCUAGUGCUUUUCAAUAAGAGGGUGAUGACUCAACAUAAAAGUAAAUAGAUAGGCCCUUCGCAGAGGGAAGCAGGGAUUUGUAGAGGUGCCAGAGCUCGGUUUUGAAAUAGAGAUAAAUAAUAUUUUGAGCAGCAUACUUUCAUUGUCAACAUAGCAACUAAGAGAUGGCGAUAUCUUCCAUGCUACACAUAUUAUAGGCGGUUCCCAAACAGAAUGGUAAAGUUUAUACUCCCCCUCCACCAACAAGCAUCAAUCCAUGACUUGCUCGAAACAACGAGUGUCUCCAACUAGCAACAGUCCCAUGGGGAGUUUUGUUUGCAAUUAUUUUGAUUUAGUUUGCAUAAAGCAUGGGACUGGGCACCCCGGAGACCAGCCAUUUUCUCGUGAAUGAGGAUCGGAGCCCACUCCUCUUGAGAAUAACCCGCCUAACAUGGAAGAUACGGACAACCCUAGUUGAUACAUGAGCUAUUCGAGCAUACAAAACAGAAUGUUUAUUUGAAGGUUUAGAGUUUGGCACAUACAAAUUUAAUUGGAACGGCAGGUAAAUACCGCAUAUAGGAAGGUAUAGUGGACUCAUAUGGAAUAACUUUAGGGUUUAAGGAAUUGGAUGCACAAGCAGUAUUCCCGCUUAGUACAAGUGAAGGCUAGCAAAAGACUGGGAAGCGACCAACUAGAGAGCGACUACAGUCAUGAACAUGCAUUAAAAUUAAUAAACAUUGAGUGCAGGCAUGAGUAGGAUAUAAUCCACCAUGAACAUAAAUAUCGUGAAGGAUAUGUUGAUUUGUUUCAACUACAUGUAUGAACAUGUGCCAAGUCGAGUCACUUAAAUCAUUCAAAGGAGGAUACCACCCCAUCAUACCACAUCACAACCAUUUUAAUAGCAUGUUGUCAUGCAAGGUAAACCAUUAUAACUCAUAGCUAAUCAAGCAUGGCAUAAGCAACUAUGAUCUAUAAUUGUCAUCGCAAACAUGUUUAUUCAUAAUAGGCUGAAUCAGGAACGAUGAACUCAUCAUAUUUACAAAAACAAGAGAGGUUGAGUUCAUACCAGCUUUUCUCAUCUCAGUCAGUCCGUCAUAUAUCGUCAUAAUUGCCUUUCACUUGCACGACCGAACGAUGUGAAUAAUAAUAAUAGUGCACGUGCAUUGGACUAAGCUGGAAUCUGCGAGCAUUCAAUAAACAAGAGAAGACAAGGUAAUAUAGGCUCUUGGUUAAAUCAACAAUAAUGCAUAUAAGAGCCACUUCAACAAUUUAAUUAUGGUCUUCUCCUAUCGACCCCCAAAGAAAAGAAAAGAAAUAAAACUAUUUACAUGGGAAAGCUCCCAACAAACAAAAGAAGAACGAGAAAUCUUUUUGGGUUUUCUUUUAAUUAUUACUACUACAGCAAGAAAAGUAAACUAACUAGAAGCUACAUUAAUUUUUUUUGUUUUUCUUAAGGUUUAACAAACACACAAGAAGAAAUCAAGAAAAAGAAAAUAAACUAGCAUGGAUAUUACAAUGAAAAAGUAUGAGCACCGGCAUCUAGCAUUGAGUGUGUAAACAUAAAUGUAAUGUCGGUGGGAAAUACAUACUCCCCCAAGCUUAGGCUUUUGGCCUAAGUUGGUUUAUUGCCAAGGAUGGCCUGGCGGAUAUCCAUAGGUGUAGCUGGGGUCGUACUGAGAUGCAGCAGUUAUCGCCUCCUGAGCUGCAGCGUGGCGGUGAGCUGCCUCCGCCCUCCUCUCGUACUCAUCUGCCUCCUCUCUAGUAAUCACAUAUCUUCCUUUUGCCUGAUAAUCAAAGAAGGCAGGAGCAGGGAGAGUAAUAUGGACAGCACGACGUCUGUCAAAGAGCAAUACCGGAGAGGUGAUUCAUUCCUCUCAAUAAACUAGUGGUAGACCAUAGAAUUAUAGUCCAAAUAAGUAGGAGGCAACAACAUAUCAUCCUCACGAAUGUCCACAUCGAGAAAAUCAGCUAAGCGGGUUGCAUAAAUUCCACCAAAGAAAUCUCCAUUAAAUCUAUUAUUAUGCAACCUACGUGUAACAAUGGCUCCCAAAUUAUAAGUCUGGUCACCUAACACAACACUCCUAAGAAUACUGAGAUCAGGGACACACAUGUGACAUGCUUCAUCUUUACCAUUUAUGCAUCUACCUAUGAAGAGAGCAAAAUAAUGUAUAGCAGGAAAAUGGAUGCUCCCCAUGGUAGCUUGUGCUAUAUCUCUAGAUUCCCCUAUGGUUAUACCAACAAGAAAGUCUCUAAAUUCAGAUUUACGGGGAUCACUAACACUACCCCAUCGUGGAAGUUUGCAAGCAGAAGUAAAAUUCUCUAAGUCCAUGGUAUAAGAUUUUUCAUAAAGAUCAAACAGGACAGUUGGAGAAUUACGUGAAGAUGAAAAUUCAAACCUCCUCACAAAUGAGCUAGUGAGAUGAUGGUACUGGGGGCAUUUGUCUGCCUCAAAGCUCACAAGAUCAGCGUUACAUAAAUAUGCGUUAAAUUCUUCCUUAAUUCCCGCUCGAUCCAUAAAAUUUUUUGAAGGCCAUUCACAUGGCCGCACAGGAGCGUCCCUUGGUGGCUUAUCAUCAGCAUCACGCAUUGCAAGCCUGGGUCCUUGCUUUCUUGAAGAAUCACCUUGGAACAUUUUCCUAAACAUAUUUCUUCCUCUGAAAAAUUCCUGAAAUUUUUAGUAACUUCAAACAAAAGUGAACCAAACUCAAAGAAAUUGAUAGCAACUACUCCUACAAGUGCCUAGAGCCUAUAUCAAGCAUUAGAACUACUUGGAACCAUAUAAAUUUGACAUGCAAGGUCAAGAACAUGGUCACCUAGGCAGCACAAAUUUGCAAUGAAUAAAGCACUAGAACAAAAACUAAUUGGACCAAUGGAGGAGUCACAUACCAAGGAACAAUCUCCCCAAGCAGUUUUGUGAGAGGUGCUUUGAGCAAUGAGAUCGAAAAUCGCAGCAAAAUGAGCUAGAACUCGUGCUUGAGCUGGAUAUUGGUGUUUGUGGGAGGAAGAAGGAGUGUAUGGGUGCAGGAAUAAGUGGAGGAGGGCCACCAUGGGCCCAUGAGGCAGGGGGGCACGCCCUGGGGGGUACGGCGCGCCCUCCACCCUCGUGGCCAGGUGGUUGACCCCCCUGCUGUGUUCUCAGUUCCAGAAAUCCUCAAAUAUUCUAGAAAAAAAAUCAUAUUUCAUUUUUAGGGCAUUUGGAGAACUUUUAUUUUCGGGGUAUUAUUAUAUUGCACAGAUAAAUCAGAAAACAGACAGAAAAAUACUAUUUUUACUUUAUUUCAACUAAAUAACAGAAAGUAGAAGGAGGGUACAGAAGGUUGUGCUUCUAGUUUCAUCCAUCUCAUGCUCAUCAAAAAGGAAUCCACUAACAAGGUUGAUCAUGUCUUGUUAACAAACUCAUUCCGACUAACAUGGAACCGGAGAAAUUUCGAAUAACACUAUGUUACCUCAAUGGGGAUAUGCACAUCCCCAAUAAUAAGAAUAUCAUAUUUCUUCUUGACAGUAGGAAGAUGAAAUUCAAAACCUCCAAAUAUAAUCGAUGGAAUUUUUCCAAUAGAGUUGAUACUAUGAACUUGAGGUUGUUUCCUCGGAAAGUACCGUAUGCUCAUUGCCAUUAACAUGAAAAGUGACAUUGCCUUUGUUGCAAUCAAUAACAGCCCCUGCAGUAUUCAAAAAAGGUCUUCCAAGAAUAAUAAACAUACUAUCGUCCUCAGGAAUAUCAAGAAUAACAAAGUCCGUUAAAAUAGUAACGUUUGCAACCACAACAGGCACAUCCUCACAAAUACCGACAGGUAUAGAAGUAGAUUUAUUAGCCAUUUGCAAAGAUACUUCAGUAGGUGUCAACUUAUUCAAGUCAAGUCUACGAUAUAAAGAGAGAGGCAUACCACUAACACCGACUCCAAGAUCACAUAAAGCAGUUUUAACAUAGUUUCUUUUAAUGGAGCAUGGUAUAGUUGGUACUCCUGGAUCUCCUAGUUUCUUAGGUAUUCCACCCUUAAAAGUAUAAUUAGCAAGCAUGGUGGAAAUUUCAGCUUCCGGUAUCUUUCUCUUAUUUGUAACAAUAUCUUUCAUAUACUUAGCAUAAGGAUUCAUUUUGAGCAUAUCAGUCAAUCGCAUACGCAAAAAGAUAGGUCUAAUCAUUUCAGCAAAGCGCUCAAAAUCCUCAUCAUCCUUUUUCUUGGAUGGUUUCGGAGGAAAAGGCAUGGGUUUCUGAACCCAAGGUUCCCUUUCUUUAUCGUGCUUCCUAGCAACGAAGUCUCUCUUAUCAUAACAUUGAUUCUUUGAUUGUGGGUUAUCAAGAUCAACAGCAGGUUCAAUUUCUACAUCAUUGUCAUUACUAGGUUGAGCAUCAUCAUCAUUAACAUUUUCACUAGGUUCAUGUUCAUUACCAGAUUGUGUUUCAGCAUCAGAAAUAGAGAUAUCAUUUGGAUUCUCAGGUGUUUCAGCAAUAGGUUCACUAGAAGCUUGCAAAGUCCUAUCAUUUUUCUUUUUCUUCCUUUUAGAAGGACUAGGUGCAUCAAUAUUAUUUCUCUGAGAAUCUUGCUCAAUUCUCUUAGGGUGGCCUUCAGGAUACAAAGGUUCCUGAGUCAUCCUACCAGUUCUAGUAGCCACUCUAACAUCAUAAUCAUUUUUCUUACUAUUCAUUUCAUUGAGCAAAUCAUUUUGAGCUUUAAGUACUUGUUCUACUUGAGUGGUAACCAUAGAAGCAUGUUUAGUAAUGAGUUUAAGUUCACCUCUAACAUCAGCCAUGUAGUUACCCAAGUGUUCAAUCAUAUAAGCAUUUUGUUUUAAUUGUCUACCAAAAUAAGCAUUGAAGUUUUCUUGUUUGACAAUAAAGUUAUCAAACUCUUCUAAGCAUUGUCUAGCAGACUUAUAGUGAGGAAUAUCACCUUCAUCAAAUCUAUAGAGAGAAUUUACCUUUACUACCCAUGUCGGGUUAUCAAGACCAGGAGGUUCUUCAAUACGUAAUGGAUUAAGAUCAUAUGUUUCUUCAACAUGCGGUAAAUUAAGACCGUGUAUUUCUUCAAUAGGAGGUAAAUUCUGAACAUCUUCAGCUUUAAUACCCUUUUCUUUCAGAGAUUUCUUUGCCUCUUGCAUAUCUUCCGGACUGAGAAAUAGAACACCUCUCUUCUUAGGAGUUGGUUUAGGAAUAGGCUCAGGAAUUGGCUCAGGAGUUGGCUCAUGAAGUGUCCAAUUAUUUUCAUUUGUCAACAUAUUAUUCAAUAGAAUUUCAGCUUCAUCCGGUGUUCUUUCCCUAAAAACAGAACCAGCACAACUAUCCAGGUAAUCUCUGGAAGCAUUGGUUAGUCCAUUAUAAAAGAUAUCAAGUAUUUCAUUUUUCUUAAGAGGAUGAUCAGGCAAAGCAUUAAGUAACUUGAGAAGCCUCCCCCAAGCUUGUGGGAGACUCUCUUCUUUAAUUUGCACAAAGUUGUAUAUUUCCCUUAAAGCAGCUUGUUUCUUAUGAGAAGGGAAAUAUUUAGCAGAGAAGUAAUAAAUCAUAUCCUGGGGACUACGCACACAACUAGGAUCAAGAGAAUUAAACCAUAUCUCAGCAUCACCCUUUAAUGAGAACGGAAAUAUUUUAAGGAUAUAAAAGUAGCGAGAUCUCUCAUUAUUAGUGAACAUGGUGGCUAUAUCAUUUAAUUUAGUAAGAUGUGCCACAACAGUUUCAGAUUCAUAGCCAUGAAAAGGAUCAGAUUCAACCAAAGUAAUUAUAUCAGGAUCAACAGAGAAUUCAUAAUCCUUAUUGGUAACACAGAUAGGUGAAGUAGGAAAAGCAGGGCCGGGUCUCAUUCUAUCAUUAAGAGAUUGCUUAUUCCAUUUAGCUAAUAAUCUCUUAAGUUCAUAGCUAUCUUUGCAAGCUAAAAUAGCUGCAGAAGCUUCUUUAUCAAAAAUAUAACCCUCAAGAAUAACAGGCAUGUUUUCAUCAUCAAUUUCAUCAACAUGAUCAGUUUCAGUAAUUUCUUUCUGUCUAGCUCUAGCAAUUUGUUCAUCAAGAAAUUCACUAAGUGGCACAGUAGUAUCAAGCAUAUAAGUAGUUUCAUCAUAAGUAUCAUGCAUAGCAGAAGUGGCAUCAUCAAUAACAUGCGACAUAUCAGAACGAAUAGCAGAAGCAGGUUUAGGUGUCGCAAGCUUACUCAAAACGAAAGGUGAAUCAAGUGCAGAGCUAGAUGGCAGUUCCUUACCUCCCCUCGUAGUUGAGGGAUAAAUUGUUGUCUUAGCGUCUUUCAAGUUCUUCAUAGUGACCAGCAGAUAUAAAUCCCAAGUGACUCAAAGAAUAGAGCUAUGCUCCCCGGCAACGGCGCCAGAAAAUAGUCUUGAUAACCCACAAGUAUAUGGGAUCACAACUGUUUUUGAGGGUAGAGUAUUCAACCCAAAUUUAUUGGUUCGACACAAGGGGAGCCAAAGAAUAUUCUCAAGUAUUAGCAACUGAGUUGUCAAUUCAGCCACACCUGGAUAACUUAAUAUCUGCAGCAAAGUAUUUAGUAGCAAAGUAAUAUGAUAGUAGUGGUAACGGUAACAAAGGUAACAAUAGCAAAAGUAAUAUUUUGGUAUUUUGUAGUGAUUGUAACACUAGCAACAGAAAAGUAAAUAAGCAAAGAAUAAUAUGUGAAAAGCUCGUAGGCAUUGGAUCGGUGAUGGAAAAUUAUGCCAGAUGCGGUUCAUCAUGUAACAGUCAUAACAUAGGGUGACAUAGAAUUAGCUCCAAUUCAUCAAUAUAAUGUAGGCAUGUAUUCCGAAUAUAGUCAUACGUGCUUAUGGAAAAGAACUUGCAUGGCAUCUUUUGUCCUACCCUCCUGUGGUAGCGGGGUCCUAAUGGGAACUAAGGGAUAUUAAGGCCUCCUUUUAAUAGAGUACCGGAACAAAGCAUUAGCACAUAGUGAAUACAUGAACUCCUCAAACUAUGGUCAUCAUCGGGAGUGGUCCCGAUUAUUGUCACUUCGGGGUUGCCGGAUCAUAACACAUAGUAGGUGACUAUAGACUUGCAAGAUAGGAUCAAGAACUCACAUAUAUUCAUGAAAACAUAAUAGGUUCAGAUCUGAAAUCAUGGCACUCGUGUCCUAGUGACAAGCAUUAAGCAUAGCAAAGUCAUUGCAACAUCAAUCUCAGAACAUAGUGGAUACUAGGGAUCAAACCCUAACAAAACUAACUCGAUUACAUGAUAGAUCUCAUCCAACCCAUCACCGUCCAGCAAGCCUACGAUGGAAUUACUCACGCAUGGCGGUGAGCAUCAUGAAAUUGGUGAUGGAGGAUGGCUGAUGAUGACGAUGGCGACGAAUCCCCCUCUCCGGAGCCCCGAACGGACUCCAGAUCAGCCCUCCCGAGAGGUUUUAGGGCUUGGUGGCGGCUCCAUAUCGUAAAACGUGAUGAUUUCUUCUUAUUUAUUUUUUCUCCUCAAAAGCAAAUAUAUAGAGUUGGAGUUGGCGUCGGAGGAGCUCCAGGCGGCGCACGAGGUAGGGGGCGCGCCCUAGGGGGGAGGGCACGCCCCUCCCUCGUGGACAGGGUGUGGCCCCCCUAGUCUUCAUCUUUUGCAACGAUUUUUUAUUAUUUCCAAAUAGACGUUGUGUGGAGUUUCAGGUCAUUCCGAGAACUUUUGUGUCUGCACAUAAACCAGCAUGGCAAUUCUGCUGAAAACAGCAAAAGUGUUUGGAAAAGGAGAUACGACGGAGAUGUAUCAGAUUCCUACUAGGACUUGGAGUCCUAGUUGGAUUCCCCUCUUGGGGGCGCGCCCUAGGGGCCGACCGGCCUCCCCCUUGCUUGUUUAUAUACGGGGGCAGGGGGCACCCUAGAACACAGAAGUUGACAGUUGUCUUAGCGGUAUGCGGUGCCCCCUCCACAGAUUUCCACCUCGGUCAUAUCGUUGUAGUGCUUAGGUGAAGCCCUCCGUCGGUAACUUCAUCAUCACCGUCAUCACGCCGUCGUGCUGAGGAAACUCUCCCUCAGCCUCAGCUGGAUCAAGAGUACGAGGGACGUCACUGAGCUGAACGUGUGCAGAUCGCGGAGGUGUCGUGCGUUCAGUACUUGGAUCGGUUGGAUCGCGAAGACGUUCGACUACAUCAACCGUGUUACUAAAUGCUUCCGCUUUCGGUGUACGAGGGUACGUGGACACACUCUCCCCACUCAUUGCUAUGCAUCACCUAGAUGGAUCUUGCGUGUGCGUAGGAUUUUUUUUGAAAUUACUGCGUUACCCAACACUUGCUUGAAAGUACUGUUGAUUUGAUGUGAGCAUGGUUGUACUAUACUUUUGCUUUUGCUCUUGCUUGCCUAUAAGAUAUACUAGCAUGCCUAUUUGCAUCCCCUAUACACACCUAGGUAGGAUCAUAUGUGUCGGGGGAAACGACCCCUACGGGAUAACGAAGAAUCCCUUUUGCUACGGUUGGCGGGUGCGGGGCUGUGGAAAGAGCAGGAUUAGAAGAUCAACGCAGGGGGAUUAUCCAGGUUCGGGCUGCAAGUGAUGCGUAAUACCCUACUCCUGCUGGUUUAUGUUUAUCUGGUGUUCUUGGACUAGCUACAAAGCGUGCAGGGUCCAAAAAGUCUGAAUCCCCUCCCAGUACGCCGCGGGCCUCCUUUUAUAGAUAAAGGGGCUGCCACAGUGGCACAUAGGAGGUGGAAAGUUGUACAGUAGUCGAGUCUAUCUCCUGGCACCGUAGGACAAACACAUUUAAUGCGCUGCCGACGUGCCCUUCUUACUUUAUCGGGAACAGCGAGGAAGCUCAUCCCGGUUAUCGCCGCCUCGCCUGGCCUCGACACGCGUCCGAGCCGACGAGGCGUGUAGUGCCACACUGGCUGGCUGCUGAGUUGGUGCGAUGGCAAAGUCUUCACGAAGAUCUGCAUGCCACCAUGCAGGUGCUUGCUGACUUGGCCUAGGGGCCGCAUGUCGCCACGCAGGUGCUCGCCUAGUUGGUGGGCUGGCAGCUGUGUGGGAACGGCGGUGGAGUCUUGGCAGGUGUGGGCCUGACUGCGGCCCCGCGGAUGUCUUUGGUAAGGGUCUUGCCGGGGCUCCGACAAGGGUCUUGCCGCGGCGUCGUGGGCGUCCCCGGCAAGGGUCUUGCCGGGGGGAUCUCGUGGGUAUCCUCGGCAAGGAUCUUGCCGAGGAUCUUUGUCUUCUGAUUCUCAUCUAGUCUUGUAUGUUCUUGGUCUUCACAAAGAUCUGCAUGCCACCAUGGAGGCGCCUCCCGAGCUUUGGUUCCAAUGUAGUUGAGGGCGUCGGAACUCUUAGACUCAAGGGUGGCAGCCAUGCUGGCGUUGGGCAAGUUGCCCUGGCAAGGUUCUCACCGGGGCCGUGGAGGUCGCCCCGGCAAGGGCCUUGCCGGGGGAGUCCACCUCGCCCUUCUGCUCUUCGUCUUUCUGGCCUGGCUUUGCUCUGGUAAUCUUUGCGACUUUGCUCCCUUUGCCCCGCUAGGUGCGGCCGCAGGCGCGGCUCUAACUGCCCGUGCACAAGUAAAGGGGUACAAAAUAGGACCCCUACUUUUGUACACCAACAGUAUGCCAAGACAGCUCGAAGAAUUUCCAUAGCUUGUUUCCAUGUUCUUCACAUCAAUAGUCUAAGAGUACAACGAUGCACAUGAUAUUUAUGCUUUUUAGCCAAUCACUCUUUGUUUGUUCUACUCCUUGGCACGACAUGACUUUUCAUGCUCAACACUCGUGCACAUUUGUUAAAACAAUGAUGUUGCAGUAUCAUUCCCGCCUCUUCCUUAAUCAAACAUCCAAUGAUGCAAAUUCAAAUGGUGAAGCAUACCAAUGAGUGAAAUCAAGGACCUAACAUAAACUCGUGAAGUUGUAAUAACAUCGACAUGUUCAAGUGAGAUGCAAUACAGAAGGUUGAUUAAUUUUUACUCUGACAAAAGGCAAGAGGAAGGAGUUAGAUUCUCUAGUUAUGCUUACCUGUUAAAGUUUAUGGAAGCAAAGGAAUGCUAGAGUGUUUGGAAAUACCGACCUUCAAAGGAAUUUGGAUCAACUUACCACAAUGAUCAUUGACGAUCUCAAACUUUUCAAGUUGGUGGGCAAGUCUGGAGUAGCUACAUUAUGUGAGUAGUAGCUUAUAGAGAGGAGGAUUUGUGUUUGCUGCGGUUGUUUUGUAACUGACGGCUAUCUUGUAAACCAUCCUUGCUUUCUCCUAUUUUUUAUAAAGGUAAGGCACACAAUUUGCAUACACUCGAAAAAGGCAAUUUGAAAUAGGUGGGGACAAAAAAUCUUGAAAAUAUCCGUAGAAACAACCACGAGCAUUUUUUUUGAAUGUUAGAGAUGUCGACUCGUUGAGGAGUGAACGUACAUCUUAUUCUUACAUCUGUGGUUGUUCAAUAGAUUAUUGGCUUGAGAAGUAAAUUCAGCCAAGAUGGCUUUGAUAAUAAAAUCGGCAUGUCCAGCAGGUGCCCGAGCACUCAUACAGAUGCAAGAGAAUGUACAAGAGUGUUUGUGUCUUCAAGCAUCAACUCCAUGAAUGCCCUUUUAAGAUACAACAUAAGUUCCUUUUUCUUGGUGAAAUAAGAAAAAUAAAUUAUAUUUCCACAGAGUACCACACUGUGCUGCUAGAGUGUUAUAAUGCUAUAAAUAUUGCAGGGCAUUUGCAACCAAACAACGCCACUAUGUACAAUGAAAACUAACAUACCAUAUUUAUAGCAUCAAGAGUAGAGAUACAAAUAAUCCCAAGCCAAGGAAUGCCCUGGUACCUUGUUGUGGAGGUAGAGCACACACAUUGUAGGAUUGGGAGGCCUUCAGAAUACAUUGGAAACAAUUAAUAUAUCCGUGGGUAAUCAUCCCUCUAAAACAUGAGCUAAUAUGUUCAAUAAGUUGCACCUAAGAACCGGCUCUUGACGAGUCGGUUGAUUCCAUCCUAAGUUUGACAAUGGAACAUGACAAUGAGUACCAUGACAACAUGGGGCAGUGGCGGUGACAACAUGUUUCUUCUUUUGCUCCGAUGUUGAUCUAAGUUUGUUAAUAUGUAGUCAAAUGAAUGAACAUUAUUGAUGACAUAAUUAAAGGACAAUGUCUCCCUAUUCUUAGCUAGUCAACACAUUCCACUUUGAAUGACACAUGUUAUUUUCGAGCUCUUUUAACCUGGUCCCUCUUAAGUUGUAGGAGGUAAGCAUACAUACUUAAUCCCUGCCAUUGGUUAUAGUUAUUAGUGGGCCCAAGUCAUUAGCAUGUGUAAAUUAAUAAACCUCAUCGUCACCCCCACCCCCCAAAUUUCUCAACACCCAAACAAGGAAAGACACCAAAAAAAUAAUCUCGUGAAUCAUGCUCCCCCUCCAGAAAAAUUCUAUCAUAAAUCUCUCUCUCUCUCUCUCUCCAGAUCUCUUUCCUAUGUCUCCAACCUCAAUACCAUUUUUUGUCUUUUGCAAGCAAUGAGAAAUUAUCUAUACACUACUAGGAAAAGGCUAAUUAGUGGCGCACCUAUUAUCACGCCAUUAGUAACAAAUAGUAAUGGCAUACCUCUGGUGCGCCACUAGUAUCCCAGAUAGUAAUGGCGCACUUCUAUGUCGGGUCACUAACAAUUUUUUUCAGAUUUUGAUUUCAUUUUUUUUCUUAAUCUCGGGUCACUAUAGCUUAAUCUCGGGUCAAUAUGCUUAAUCUCAAGUCAAAUUGCACUCCGUGGUCAAACUUCCCGGAAGAUCACCCAUCCUCACACUACUCGAGCCCGAGCACGCUUAACUUCGCAGUUCUAUCCAACCCCAGCACCAGCUCACUUCACAUGCACUUGUUGAUAUAUCUAUCAUAUCAAUCCAAUUAAACCUUGUUGAUGUCUAGGACUUUGUUCAUUUUCAUGAGUGUGAUGAAAUUUUGAAAAAAUGUUUCGAACUUCCCUGUCAUAUUACGCAUCAUAUUUUGAAAAAAAAAUCCAACAAAAAAAUUCGAAACCAAUUUUUUUUCUGUUACUAAUGGCGCACCUAGCAGAUGGUGCACCACUAGUAAGUUUGAAACUUUUUCCAUUUCCCCCUCUAGAUCUUAAAAGCCCCGUAUCUUUUGUUCUGUUAGGUUUUUGGGGAUUCUGAAAAUCUUGAACAAGAUUCCCCCAGUUCAAUUCAGAUGUAACUUUUCGAGUAGAUGAUUUUUCAUAUAAAAAACUUUUUAAUCCGAGUUCGUAUGCAAAAGUUAUGUCCAUUUUACUAAAUUCGAGAGAGAUUUUGCAAAUAAAGUCGAAAUUCAUAUUUGUAAAUUUUCCCAAUAACUAGACCACAUAUCACAUGGGAAACUUAUUUUCUUUUAUUUUUUUGACAUUUCCAUCAUUUUCUUUUAUUUUUUUAAAACUGAAAAGACGGUCCACAUGGGGGGGGGGGUGGUGCAAAGAAAUUUAGUAAUGGCGCACCAGGAGAUAGUGCGCCAUUACUAGUUGACAUAGUAAUGUCGCACCUUCAUAAAGUGCGCCAUUACUAUGUGUAUGACUUGGUCAAACCUUGGUCAAAGUUUGUAAUGGCGCACUUUGUGUAUGUGCGCCAUUACUAAGUUUGACAUAGUAAUGGUGCACCUAUGCAAAGUGCGCCAUUACUAAGUUUGACCAAGGUUUGACCAAGUCAUACACAUAGUAAUGGCGCACUUGGUGAAGGUGCGCCAUUAUUAUGUCAACUAGUAAUGGCGCAUUAUACCCUGGUGCGCCAUUACUAACAUUUUUUUUUCUUUUUUCUAAACUAGUAAUGACGCAUCACACAUCAGGUGCGCCAUUAGUAAUAUGUCAAUAAUGGCGCAUCUGUAUCUGGUGCACCACUGCUAUAUAGCAGUGGCGCACCACAUACAUGGUGCGCCGUUAAUGUCCAUAUUAGCUAUAGCCAUUUUCCUAGUAGUGAUACUACUUAAAAAGAAUGUAAGGUUUCAUGUUUCACUUUUAUUUUCACCAUCCCUUCAUCCAACCUUCCCCGUAUGAAAAUCAAUCACCUAAAUUUACUUACCUUUUGAACCAAUUCUACUUUAAUUAACUUACCAAACUUUUCAUCAAAAUACAAGGUAAAUCACGAACAGGACUUGAUAAACAUUUAUUUUCACAAUCACAUUGAUAUGGACGGGUAACAAUACUAUAAUUAAACCCAUUAAGCUACGCGUGAAGGGCAGCCAACCAACUAUGCCACAUGGCACAAGCUGGUUGGCCACAGUGAGAAAUCUUAAAAAAAUUAGAUGAAGGUGUGGAUUAUUUUCUAAAUGUAUUUUUUUAGAUGGAGGUGAGGACCUCUGGUAUUUUUUAAAUGGAGGGUUAUGCAAAGUGGCACUCGCUGGUAGGCUGCGGUGGUUUUUACUUUUUUUAGAUGAAGAUGAGGAUUUUUUCUGAGAUGUUUUUUUAGACAGAGGCAAGGACUCUAUGUAUUUUUUAAAAUGAAAACAUGCGGACAGCUUCCUCUCAAGCGGCGUCACACGAUGGCGCCCGAACCACUAGUAUUUAUAUCCAGUUGUAACGCACGAGCAUUGUCCUAGUCAAAUAAAAGAGAUCGAUGGACGGCUUCUAAAUCUUGUCCAGGAUUUCCCCUUUUUCCUUGGAACAAAUGUGACAAAUUAUGAUAACUGCCAUGACAACACAUGUACUUUUUUUCUUGAAGUUCGUCAUUUAUGCCUUUUUUGCAAGAAGUUCCCCAAUGUACUUAACCAUAUGUAUGUGUUUUUUACAACCACAAUAUCUUAUGGAAAGAAUAAAGUAAUAAUAAUUAUUUCUCAUGUCAUGUCAUUCCGUGAUUUCACAAUAUUUUUCUUAUACAUAGUGACAUUCGAUGGUUCAAUAACGUCAACUAGGAAUAUGUAGUUUCCUUUUACUAGAACAUUCUUCAUAUGUAGAUAUACAAUACUAUAUUUUAUACUACCAAUUCAUCAUUUAAAAAUUAUAUUUUCCUUUAUCAAACACUUACCAAAUAUAAAAAACGGCAAUACCUAUUGAAGAGGGUUUACCUCUCGUGGGUGACCUAUUAUCUUCUACGAGGUAAUAGGUCACCACAUUUUGUCUAGACCCAUAGAUAAAAAAUAAUGAAUGACCCACAAUAGCUGGGACCAUCUUAAAAUUUCUCCUUUUCUAUUUAAUUGUUAUAGGGUCAUCCACUCAUUGGAAAUUGUAGGCAUUGAACAAUGUCAGUAUGGUAUGCGUGUACAAUGAGGACUUGUGGCUCUCGGGUACCACACACCCCUAUGCAAAUAUAGUAGUAAAAAUACCAGGAAAUUUAAAAAAAAUCUGGAUUUUUUGGGAAAUCAAACAUUGGUGGCCAUUGUACUCAUGUGUUUACUUUCAUGAGGAAUGGGUGCCCGUGGUAUUCUCGGUAAAAAAAUAAAAUAAAAUUUCUAUGUAUAGGAAAAACUGUUUGGAUGGAUCAUAUGUCGGACUGUAUUAUCUUUGCCACGGAUAUUGCGGGCGAUUAUAUUUAUGAUGAUCAUGGAACAUGAAUAUAGUUUUCUCAUAAUGUGAAUAUUCAUAUCUCAGUAACUUCUAAUUUAAAGAUGAUGCCCCCGCAUUUGCGAGGGCCACCGUGCUAGUUCUUGAAAAAACAAUAUCAAUUAAAGCGAACAUAUUGGUGCCACAAAUACAUUUGUUUAAAUAAAGAAAAUAAAAAAUCAAGGCCAUCCAUAUAGGACCUGCCUCACAGCAACAUCUCCAAUAUCCUAUGACAAACCCAAUAACCAUGAACCGAUCCAUUCUUUGAAUCAUCACUGGGGGAGAGGUCCUCACAUGAAUAAAUUACUCAAAAUACCAAGCUAGUUGGUCGGAGUUACAAUGGUUCUGUUGUGGCAAAAGAUAGAAGAUAUAUUUGGCUAUACAUAGCGGCGACAUUUGAGUAGAUUCCCUAAACGACAACUCCCUGACCACUGUAACUAUCAAUUUUUUAUUUUACCCUUUGGACUCAUAGGUUUAGGAAAUAUUCUUGAAAGUUUACCGCUAGUUCUCCAUGUUAAUAUCAUAUCAUGCAAAAUGACACAACAAACUAGCUUGUCAUUUUGAGAAAUGAAUUUAGGUGGGGAUCGACCCUCCCGUGUUGUUAAAAAAACAUGUGAGCAGACGAAGGGUGCAAUUCCAAGACUAUGACAUAAAAAAGGAAUCACCACUCGCAUACCAAUCUUGGUUGAUCCAACCAAAAUAUUAGACCAAGGGCUAUCAUUCCUGAAGUAGAUAUUUGAGCCAGCAACUUCAAAAGGAAACAAUGUGCAAACCUCAAUGUUGUCUGACCAAGUCAGAAGACUAGAUCACGAGUUUUCAUCUAGAGAAUGCGAACACGAUGUCAGUCGCCAUCCACCGGCCUAUCGGCUAGCUCAUACCAAACUAGGUGGCCAAAUGAGAAACUGAUGGAAAGGAAGAUGCCAUCACAUUGCUUCUAAUAAUUGCCGAACAAAUAUCUAGUCCAUGGUUGUCGUGUACGCCAUGACAACACUUAGCAGCCAUCCCCACCAUAGGUGUUGCCAAUAUUACAUAGCCCUCAAAGGCUCUGAUCUAGUUCUUAACCGAACCAAAUCUGGCCUUAGCGGCUUGCGCUAUUAACGGUGAGAGAGUGGAGUGACACUAGCCAUCCCACAAGAUCAACCCAGUGUUGGGUGCUUCGUGCCACAACCGCAUGAUCUCCAUGCCUCGUCGUAUACAUGCUACAUUAAUCCAUUCUUGCCACUCUCCGAUCUGCAUGUAGGAUCACCAGAUCAGCCACCACACCCGCUACUAUACCACCUCCUCUUCCAACAACUAGGCCACCAUUGCGUGAUUGAAAAAGUGAGGAACUCCCGACACCUUUGGUGUGGUGCAAGUCACAACCGUCAUAAAGGUCGGUGACAAAUACAAUGAGCAGGGGAGGGCGAGGGAGUUGGGUGUUGGGGAACGUAAUAAUUUCAAAAAAUUUCCUACGCACACGCAAGAUCACGGUGAUGCAUAUCAACGAGAGGGGAGAGUGUUGUCCACGUACCCUCGUAGACCGAAAGCGGAAGUGCAACGCGGUUGAUGUAGUCGUACGUCUUCACGAUCCGACCGAUUGAUAUGUCUCCGUCGUAUCUAUAAUUUUUGAUUGUUCCAUGCCAAUAUUAUACAACUUUCCUAUACUUUUUGGCAACUUUUUAUAUUAUUUUUGGGACUAACAUAUUGAUCCAGUGCCUAGUGCCAGUUCCUGUUUGUUGCAUGUUUUUGUUUCGCAGAAUAUCCAUAUCAAACGGAAUCCAAACGGGAUAAAAACGGACGGAGAAUAUUUUUGGAAUAUUUGGAGAAUUCCAGAAGAAAAAUCCACGCGAGACGGUGCCCGAGGGAGGCACGAGGCAGGGGGGCACGCCCCACCCCCUGGGCGCGCCCCUGAACCUCGUGGGCCCCUCGUAAGGCGGUUGAUGCCCUUCUUCGGCUGCAAGAAAGCUAAUUUUAGGUAAAAAAUCACGGCGAAGGUUUCAGUCCAAUCGGAGUUACGGAUCUCCAUAUAUAUACAAAACGGUGAAAGGGCAGCGGGGAGAACGCAGAAACAGAGAGACAGAUCCAAUCUCGGAGGGGCUCUCGCCUCUCCCACGCCAUGGAGACCACAGACUAGAGGGGAAACCCUUCUCCCACCUAGGGAGAAGGUCAAGGAAGAAGAAGAAGGAGGCCCCCCCUCUCCCCUCUCAUAACAAAAGGCUCUUUACUAAAACUAAUUUAGUUGUGUAUUUAUCUAAACAACCCCUAACUUUUAUUUACGUGCUCUUUACUAUCUUGCAAACCUGUCCAAAAACACCUACAAAGUACUUCUAGUUUCAUACCUGUUUUCGGUAAAGCGAAUGUCAAGUGUGCCACUACAAAAAAAGACACAUUCGUGACAUUUUGGGCCGAACGAAUUUUUUUUCUGUCAUACAUAUGACACUUCUAUGACGAUAAUUGUGACAAAACCCGGUAUCAUCAUAGAUGUGGUGGGCUCCUACUUCUAUGACAAAAAAUCAUGAUAGAAAAUGGGCUUUUCGUCCUGGGCGGGCCGGGGACGCAGCUGCAUGACAUUCUUUGGGCCGUCCAUGACGGAAAAAACCGUGGUAGAAGCGAGGGCGAGGAAAAUUUCGGGGAGUUCCCGGUUAUGGUGGGAGGUCGGGGGCCGAGCAAUGCACAUUUCUCUCGUACACAUACGCGCGUGUGUGCGAGGCGUUAGCUCUAACUGAACCCGAGCGAGGCGUUGGGCUCUAACUGAACCCGAGCAUUUGCACUGCAGGCUACGCGUUACUGGACCUGAGCGAUCGAUCGAUGGCUGUUAACUGAACCCGAUCGAGCGAUUCCUUCGCUAUUGCUGCUAACUGAAGCCGAUCGAUGCUGCCUCUGGAUGAACAGUGAGCAUUGCGGGGGGUGGGGGGGGGUUGGAUGAACAGGAUCCCGUGGUGUUGCCUCUGGAUGAACAGGACCCCGAUCGAUCGAGCCGGUUGAGGCUGGAUGAACAGGACCUCGUGGAGGGCUGGAUGAACAGGACCACCCCGUGGAGGGCAGGAUGAACAUUAGACGGUGGAGGGCUGGAUGAAUAGUAGCCCGUGGAGGGGUGGUUGAACAGGAGCCCGUGGAGAGGGCUGGUUGAAUAGUAGCCGGUGGAGUAGCGCGUGGUCGAGGCUGGAUGAACAGGAACCCGUGGAUAAACAGUAGCUCGUGGAGACUGGAGGGGGUCGACGAUGGAUGAAUAGUAACUCGUGGAGGCUGGAGGGGGUCGACGGUGGAGAUGAACAGUAUCCCGUGGAGUCCCGUUUUGCGGUACGCCACACCCCUCCCGAUGAACAUGACCCCCGUUUCGACCGUAGGAGGUCCGUUUCGUCCGUUUUGCGGUACGCCACACCCCUCCCGAUCAACAGGACCCCCGUUUCUACCGUAGGAGGUCCGUUUCGUCCGUUUUGCGGUACACCACACCCCUCCUGAUCAAACAGGACCUCCGUUUCGACCGUAGGAGGUCCGUUUCCUCCGUUCUGCGGUACGCCAGGCUUCGUUUCCAUCGCCUGUUCUGUCCAAGCCCUCCCGAUGAACAUGACCACGCAUUUUGUUUCGACCCAGCCGGUUGGCUCCCACGCGUUCCGUUGCCUCCCGAUGAACACGACGCAUUCCAUUGCCUCCCCAUGAACACGACGAGGACGCUGUUUUUCCGUUCCGACCCAGCCAUGUCAACGAGCCCUCACUGUACGUAUGCGCGAGUAGGCUUUCGAGACCCCGCCCGUAUGUACACAUACGUGGCCGUAUUUUCCUUCUUGCACCCUGGCCGCCUCUACUAUGACACGUGCGCGCCUCUACAUCCACCAGUAUAUAUGUACGUACACGUUCGCGACCAGAAUGACAACGCUAUGUACGCUUCAACUAGGUGGGUCCCGACUAUCAGGCACUUCCUUGCGUGCGAAGAUGUAGCUGGUGGGUGUAGGGGAACGUAGUAAUUUCAAAAAAUUUCCUACGCACACGCAAGAUCAUGGUGAUGCAUAGCAACGAGAGGGGAGAGUGUUGUCUACGUACCCUUGUAGACCGAAGCGGAAGCGUUGACGCAACAUAGAGGAAGUAGUCGUACGUCUUCCCGGUCCAACCGAUCCAAGCACCGUUACUCCGGCACCUCCGAGUUCUUGGCACACGUUCAGCUCGAUGACGCUCCCCGGGCUCCGAUCCAACAAAGCUUCGGGGAGGAUUUCCGUCAUCACGACGGCGUGGUGACGAUCUUGAUGUUGCCCCUCCCCCUAGUCCAAUUCGGACUAGGCCUUGGGGGGGCGCGCGGCCUGCCUCUCCCUCUCCCCUAAAGCCCAAUAAGGCCCAUAUACUUCUUCUCCCGUAUUCCCGUAACUCCCUGCUACUCCGAAAAAUACCCGAACCACUCGGAACCUUUCCGAUGUCCGAAUAUAGUCGUCCAAUAUAUCGAUCUUUACGUCUCGACCAUUUCAAGACUCCUCGUCAUGUCCCCGAUCUCAUCCGGGACUCCGAACUCCUUCGGUACAUCAAAACUCAUAAACUCAUAAUAUAACUGUCAUCGAAACCUUAAGCGUGCGGACCCUACGGGUUCGAGAACAAUGUAGACAUGACCGAGACACGUCUCCGGUCAAUAACCAAUAGCGGAACCUGGAUGCUCAUAUUGGCUCCUACAUAUUCUAUGAAGAUCUUUAUCGGUCAGACCGCAUAACAACAUACGUUGUUCCCUUUGUCAUCGAUAUGUUACUUGCCUGAGAUUCGAUCGUCCGUAUCCAAUACCUAGUUCAAUCUCGUUACCGGCAAGUCUCUGUACUCGUUCUGUAAUACAUCAUCCCACAACUAACUCAUUAGUUGCAAUGCUUGCAAGGCUUAAGUGAUGUGCAUUACCGAGAGGGCCCAGAGAUACCUCUCCGACAUUCAGAGUGACAAAUCCUAAUCUUGAAAUACGCCAACCCAACAUGUACCUUUGGAGACACAUGUAGAGCUCCUUUAUAAUCACCCAGUUACGUUGUGACGUUUGGUAGCACACAAAGUGUUCCUCCGGCAAACGGGAGUUGCAUAAUCUCAUAGUCAUAGGAACAUGUAUAAGUCAUGAAGAAAGCAAUAGCAACAUACUAAACGAUCGGGUGCUAAACUAAUGGAAUGGGUCAUGUCAAUCAGAUCAUUCAACUAAUGAUGUGAUCCUGUUAAUCAAAUAACAACUCUUUGUCCAUGGUUAAGAAACAUAACCAUCUUUGAUUAACGAGCUAGUCAAGUAGAGGCAUACUAGUGACACUCUGUUUGUCUAUGUAUUCACACAUGUAUUAUGUUUCCGGUUAAUACAAUUCUAGCAUGAAUAAUAAACAUUUAUCAUGAUAUAAGGAAAUAAAUAAUAACUUUAUUAUUGCCUCUAGGGCAUAUUUCCUUCAGUCUCCCACUUGCACUAGAGUCAAUAAUCUAGAUCACAUCGCCAUGUGAUUUAACAUCAAUAGUUCACAUCUUUAUGUGAUUGGUUCACAUCUCCAUGUGACUAACACCCAAAGGGUUUACUAGAUUCAAUAAUCUAGUUCACAUCGCUAUGUGAUUAAGACCCAAAAAGUGAUCAUGUUUUGCUUGUGAGAGAAGUUUAGUCAACGGGUCUGCCACAUUCAGAUCCGCAUGUAUUUUGCAAAUUUCUAUGUCAACAAUGCUCUCCAUGGAGCUACUCUAGCUAAUUGCUCCCACUUUCAAUAUGUAUCCAGAUUGAGACUUAGAGUCAUCUGGAUCAGUGUCAAAACUUGCAUCGACGUAACCCUUUACGACAAACCUUUUUUUCACCUCCGUAAUCGAGAAACAUAUUCUUAUUCCAGUAAGGAUAAUUUUGACCGCUGUCCAUUGAUCUACUCCUAGAUCACUAUUGUACUCCCUCUCUUAACACAGUGUAUGGUAUACAAUAGAUCUGGUACACAGCAUGGCAUACUUUAUAGAACCUAUGACUGAGGCAUAGGGAAUGACUUUCAUUCUCUUUCUAUCUUCUGUCGUGGUCGGGCUUUGAGUCUUACUCAAUUUCACACCUUGUAGCACAUCCAAGAACUCUUUCUUUG
rnacentral:lncRNA from 1 species